rnacentral:misc_RNA from 1 species
GCCAUUCACACAUAUGGGUCUGCACAAAUAGGAAUAAGACGAAGGCAAGAUGGUGUCAGGAUUGUUGUCAAUAUCAUCAAGCUAAGGAUGGAGACGGAUGGGUCGAGUAUAAAGGUUCUCUAGUUUUUGAUAAACCCCAGAAAAUGGAUAUUCCACGUGCUUUCGUUUGUGCUGAGAGCAAAAUCUUUGAUGUGUCCGAAUGGGCAAUUUGUCAAGGAAUGGCUUGCAGGCCCAAUACUCAUCGCCCAAGCUUUCAUGUAAACAUGGUCGGUUUAGGGAAAACCACGCAACGAUCGAAGUCGAGUAGAUUUCCUUGGGAAUUGGAUGCUGAAAUGAUGGAUGAAGACGAGGAAGAAUUUGAG